rnacentral:rRNA from 1 species
CCCUUAGAUGUUCUGGGCUGCACGCGCGCUACACUGCUGCAAUUAACGGGUUUUCUGUACCGAAAGGCUUGGGGAAUCCUUUGAAUAUGCGGCGUGAUAGGGAUAGAAUAUUGUAAUUAUUACUCUUCAACGAGGAAUGCCUAGUAAGCGCAAGUCAUCAGCUUGCGUUGAUUACGUCCCUGCCCUUUGUACACACCGCCCGUCGCUCCUACCGAUUGAAUGGUCCGGUGAAGCGUUCGGACCGUGGCCUUUGGACGGUUCGCCGUCUGUUGGCUGCGGGAAGUUCGUUAAACCUUAUCAUUUAGAGGAAGGAGAAGUCGUANCA